UGCCGCCGCCGCCCAGGGCGGAGCGGGGCGCGAGGUGCGGGGAGACGGCUGCAGGGGCUCCCGCCGGCCCGGCAGCAGCGCCGCGGCCGCGCGAGGCGUUUGGUGUCGGCUGCGGGCCGUCCCGCCAGGGCCCUCUGACGUGCUGCGUGUGCACAGGUGGCUGCGCGGUGCCCGUCAGUGCGCCGCCCGUGGCGGGGUCUGUGUUCGGGGACGGGUGUGUUUGUGGCUGCAGUUGCCGCAGUUCGUCCCGGCCCUCCAGACCUCCCCAGCCCCACUCUCGGCCUCGUGUUCCUGGCACGACCGCUGCUUCUGCCCCGGAUGCUUCCUCUGGGCUCCGCCCCCAGCACGUCCACGUCACGCCUGCUGCCUUAGUCCUGCAGAAAUCCUGCGCUUUGGAUUUGUGUCACCUUCUGUAAGUUGAAAGCUUCUGGACCAAGUGCGGCAGUGAGAUGGAGUCAGAAGAGGAGGUAUUGCCAUCAGAGAGUCAGCAAAGGUGGUUGACCAUGCCCAAAGGAGGGUGCUGAGGGGAGUUGAUGACCUGGACUUUUUCAUAGGGGAUGAAGCCAUAGAUAAACCCACGUAUGCCACAAAGGUAAACUCCCCACCGGGAUUUGCUUCUUGGCCAAUAAGACAUGGAAUAAUUGAAGACUGAGAUCUAAUGGAGAGGUUCAUGGAACAAGUUAUUUUUAAUUUUCCCUGAGCUGAACCUGAGGGCCAUCACUUUUUGAUGAAACCUUCCUAGCAGAUUUGCCCUGUCUGUCCGUGCCCAGUGUGGGCCCUAGAGGGGAACAAAAUUACUUUGGUACAUUUUGAUGAGUCAAGAUUCUCUCCUGUUGCUGGUGAGGGGACCACAUCUCAUCACCUGGCCCCAAGAGACAGAACCUCCUCUGAAUACACCAGAAAAUAGAGAAUAUCUUGCAGAAAUUAUGUUCAAAUUAUUUAAUGUACCAGGACUCUACUUUGCAGUUCAGGACGUUGCAGAGAUGAUGUACUAAUGCUGGUGCUUUAAUACCUCAAAGUUCAGAAAUCACUGCAGGGGGAGGCUGAUGUGUCUACAGUCAGGAGGAAAAAGCCAAAUCUUUCCCCUCUGUCAUUGCACCCUGCCAGUGUCCCCUUUGCCCGGGGGUGAGAAGAGGCAGGAGGCCUGCAGAGCAUGCUCUGUGCUCGCAGCCCCUUCAUCCAGUCUCAGAACACUGCCCCCUCCUGGGUGUGAGGUGUUUAGGUGCCACUUGCUGUGUGGUCCUGCCUGGCUCCUCUCUGAGGUCAAGUCCUCAGAGGUCAGUGCAGGCCAAGGUCAGGGUCUGUGCCUGUGGGUCUGCUUCCUGGCCUCCCCUGUGCAUCUGAAACAAGUUUCACACUACGUGCAGGCCCACAGAGAAAGUUGUUGUUCAAAUUUUUCUCUGUUUCUUAAUGCAGUUUUUUUCCCCCUAUUUAUAAAAAUUUCAUUUACUGUACAAAAUUUAGGUAAAAUGGAGAAAUGUAAAGAAGAAAAUAGAAUGACCCACAAACCUGCCCAGAGGACUGUGCCACACUUUUUUGGUAUAGUCUACUGAGCUCUUUUUCUUAGACACACGAUACACAUUUUAAGCACAGUUGGGAUACCCUCCAUCUGAUUUCAUGUUCUAAUUGUACAAUGUGCUCCUGAGGUUGUAUUUUGCAUAUUGACUUAUCCCUGAUGUAUCUUUAUGGUUAAAUACUCUGUGGAAAGAUAUUUAGUAACUACCUGACAGCCCAUCAUGUGGGUGUAGCACAACUCACUUACUUGUUUUCCUACCAUUGGCUGUGGGUUGUUUUAAUAUAUUUAAUCUGUGAUGAAGCUGAUACUCAACAUGGGUUGAAUUAAUUUUAGAAAAUGUUAUAUGUAAUGUAUUGAGUAUAGAAAUUGUGAAUAGUUUCUGUUUGCGAGAGCUACUGUUCUUAUGACUUUUUUAUUUUAAUAAUGUGUACAUAUCUUUUAUCUUGAUCUUAAAUAUUUUACAAUUGGCUUGGGCUCCUGAGAAAGGCUACACACUCUCUCACUUCUAGAAGUUGGGCACCUCAGAAGACAUAAGAGGAAUUCAGUCACCUGUUCUUGUAACUUCAGUGGUAACUGUGCUUGUACAUAGUGGAACUGAUCCAUCUGUCAGAUGGAUGAGGAUUUGCUCCAGCCUUCUGUCUCCAUGAGUGUGUGACAAGCAACCAGUGCCAUCAGGGAGCUCAGAGUGCCUCCUCUACCUGGUGCAGGUGGAAGGUUAGGUAAUUGGAAGCUGCAUCAAACACAUCCCUAUUGCAGGUAGAGAUAUGAAUUUCAUUCAACAGCUGCCAAGGGAGAGGGAGGUGGGAAUCCCUCCUGAGCAACCACUGGAGACCGCAAAAGCCAUUAAGGAGAAGUACUGUCACAUUUGCCCCAAUAUAGUCAAGAAGUUUGCCAAGUAUGACGUGGAUCAGCGGAAGUGGAUCAAACAGCAAACAGGGAACAAUGCCAUAAGCCAGAAGAAAAUCAUUAUCGAUGUUGGCUAGGAAAGUUUCCCAGGUCCUGAAAUUUUCCUUCACCCAGAGAAACACCAGUGGAAACAAAUCUAAAGAUGUCAUGCACUAGGGCCUGCUGUAAUGAUCCUUCAGUCCCCCAGCUGGGUCCUCAGUGAAGUACCAGAUACUGAUUAACAUGCCAAGUAUAAUGCCUGGCCCAGGAAGCUCAGGAGAUGAAUCAAAUAACUUGACCAUGAAGGAGCACUGAGGAGGAGGCAGAGAUGAUCUCUGGCAUGGGAUGUGAACCGCCCACAUUUCAGCUGAGUAUUGUCUGGAAUAAGGACAACAUUCCCCAGUCUCUAUUCCAGCUUAGUGAGGUCACAAUACUAAAUUCUGGUCAAUGAAAUGUAACAGGAAGUGUAUGACAGCCUCUGGGAAAUUUCCUUAAGAGACCAAAGAUGCUUGCAUUCCUCUGUCUCCUUCCUUUCCUUCCUUCCUCCUUUCUACAUUGCAUGUGAUGGGUAAAGCUCCAUCUAGGGCCAUGAGAUUGAGGGCCUCAUCUGAUGUUUAGCAAACCUAAAAGGUGGAACCAGCCUAAGCCUCAGGAGAUUUGUGAAAUCAUAAUACCAGUUCUGGAUUGUCUCUCUAGAAAUUUUUUUAAUGUGAAAGAGAAACAAACAUCACUUUGUUUAUGCCACUGUUCUUUGCAGUCUCUGUAACUGGCAGCUAAUUUUAACUAAUCCAGAAACUUAUCCAAAGUGAUCAUGUAAAGUUCAAACCCAGGCCCACCAGUCUGCAAAAUCCACACUCUUAGGCAGAAGCCUGAAGAACUCCUGCUUAUAAUCUGCAAAAGAUUGGUGGUGGGGUAAGAGUGUGUGUGUGUGUAAAACUGCUGACAAGAAUUUGACAGAAGGAAAGAAGGAAAGUUUGAAUAUGCUCGCAAUUCUGCAUACCUAAGAGACAAUCAAAGGGAAUAUGCUACUGGACAGUAAAGAAUGUAGUCUCCAUCAGAGGUGGACAGAGAAAGAUCUGUCACCUGCAUGGAUCUGGAAAGAGAAGCUGUGUCUCUGAAAGAUGCUGCUGUAUUUUAUUUCCCAUCUAUAUUUUAUAAAUUUCCUAUAUAUAUUUAUUAUUCUGUUCAUAGAAAAUUCUAAAAGACUCAGUCACUAUUUCCACAGCCAAAUUUGUCAAAGUGUAAAAUUGUGUUUAGAAGUCUCAUCAUAAUUAUUAAGCACUCAUUCUGUGCCCAUCAGUAUGCUAGAUAUCAAGCACAAUAUCAAAAAAGCAUCAAUAUUGGUUUCUGACCUCAAGCAGCUCAGAACUUAGGUGAACACAUAGAAAACAACCAAGUACUACUUACAUGAAGAGAUGGAUCAGUGCAGGUGAUAAUAAUCAGAAAGAGACUCAUGAAAGAGAAGUAAAAUUUAGAAAGACCUAAAUUCUAUAUGUUUGCCUUAUCUGCCCCAAAUAUUGUCUUAAAAUGACCAAUCCACCCUCAGGGCUCAGUCAAUCUCUUUCUGGUAACCUGAGAAAAUCCAGAAGAAAAAGACAUAGAAAUACUCUGUUUUUUACAGCAUCCCAUUGGUUUGGGGCAAUAUCUAGUGGUAGGCUCCUCACAUUCAUAUGAUAAAGGAGAUGACUGUGAGCAGCAAUGUGGCUGGUUCCUCUGCCCAAUGGCACAAGCAGAGUCACAAAUAACAGAAAUGAAAGGAUCACUACAAAUUGUGUUAUUGAACUGCAUGACCUACAUGGAGCAAUCAACUCACUCCUAGGUUUGGCAGGGCCUUUCUGAGUUGAUUCCCUGAAAAACAAAACAAAACAAUAAAACCCAAACCAAACCAAAAAAUAAAAAAAAAUAUUUAAAAAAGAGAGACUCUGAGUGUCAACAUCUCUGCUCCAUGUGGCUGCCUUGAUAAGAGUUCAGAUUUCUCUGUGUCAUGAGAAAAUUUUUAUGAUUAAUGGAAGACAGAAUAUUAUCCAAUAUUAACAGUUAUUUUCCAAUUCUGUAUUAUAAAAUUAUUUCUGAUAAUGAAAAAUUCUCUAUUUCUUUAAAUUAAUUAAAACAUUGAAAGUCUACAGUGUAUAAAAGAAAGCACUGGAAUUCUGGAGAGGUGAGGCAGAAUACGAAGGUAAACAGGAAUCAUUAUUCCUUUUCUCAGAGGUAUGUAAUCUACAGGGGAAGCAUGCAGCACCUGAAAGGGGAGGAGAGGUUGGUGGGCCACGCAGGGUUGAAGGAGGAGCAUAGGAACAUGGGUCUGGGAAAGUUUGGCUAGCUUUACAGUGCUCAAUUGAAAUACUACUUUGCAAUAUUUUCUCAACACCAGGGUUCAAGUUUGUUAGUCCUACUGAGACAUCAGGUCAGAAGAAAAGAACAAAAGUGAGAAGGCAUUUAUGGCUUUGCAUUCUCAGAAAGUCAUCCUGCUGGUUCAGCUGUAGUUUUAACGUGAGCUCUCCUCGGGCCUGGGAGAAAUUCUGAGAAUGACCCCUGAGAAUGAGCUCAGUGGUGAGAAGUCCAAGGACAGGAUGAGGUCGACAUUGCAAGUGUUUUUGGAAUAAGAAUCAACACACUUAAAGACUGGGAUUUGGAAGUGAGAAGGAGUACAUGGAAGUGAUUCAGGAAGACAAGGAAAUGAGACACAAGUGGCAACAUUUGUCAAAGUUCUAUGCAUUUGUUCCUUUGGAUUCAAGUGAAACAUCUGGAGUCAAUUCUUAACCCAAUGUUGGUUUGUUCUCACCAACCUCUUUGCCCUGCUAUUGGAAAAUAUAUUACAUUUCUGUAUGUUAUAUGCCCACAAAUACAAUUAAAUGUAUACUGCUUUAUGAUUUUUAAACAAGAUAAGAAAGGAUAAGAAAUAGGCAAUUAUACUCCUUUAUAAUUGCAUAAUUACCUUUAUCAGUGUUCUUUGUUUUGUGUGUGUGUGUAUUCAAAUUACUGUCUUGGGUCACUUGCUUUCAGCCUGAAGAACUAACUUUAGUAUGUCUUGUAAGGUAGGUCUACUGGCAGCAGAUUCCUUCAGAUUUUGUUUUCCAAAUGUCUUUUUAUUUCAUCUUCAUUUUUAAAUGAUAAUUUUGCUGGAUAUAUGAUUCUUGAUUAAGAACUUUUAAAAUUUGAGGGCUGAGAAUAGGUUAUCCUAUUGCCUUCAGCCCUCUAUUGUUUCUGAUGAUAAGUCAACUGUUAAUCUUAUAGGAGUUUCCUUAAGCAAGAUGUCAUUUUCCUCUUGCUGCCUUCAAGAUUUUCUUUGGCAUUUUUACUAUGUGUCUAUUCAUGGGUCUUUUUGAGUUUAUCCUACUUGCAGUUUGUUGAACUUCCUGGAUAUGUAGAUUUAAAUUUUUUAGGAAAUGGGAAUUUUUUAGCCACUAAUUUUUCAAAUAUUUUUCUGCUCCUUUCCUUCUCUGUUCUUCUGGUGCUGCUUUAAGUGUCUGUUGGUAUACAUUAGUGUCCCACAUUUCUCUGAGACUUUGCUCAUUUUUUCUUCAUUCUUUUUUCACUCUGUUCUUGGAUUGCAUAAUUUCUAUUGAUCUAUUCUUAAGUACUUUUACUUUCUGCCCAUUUAAGUGUAUUAUUGAUUCCAUCUAGUGAAUUUUUAAAUUUCAGUUAUUGCUCCUUUCAGUUCCAAAAUUCCCAUUUGGUUAUUUUUAAUAAUUUCUGUCUCUUUAUUAAUGUUCUCUAUGUGAUGUGACACUGUCAUCAUGCUUUACUUCUAAAAUCAUGGUUUUCUUUGUUUCUUUGAACAUAUUUAUAAUGUCUUCUUUUCUCACAUCUGGUCUCUCCUGCAGGUGGCUUUAUUGCCUGCUAUUCUUCUGGUAUCUAGGCCAUAAUUUCCUGCUUAUUUUGCAUGUCUCAUAUUUUUUGGAAAAUGAACAUUUUAGAUAUUGCAGCAACUUUGGGUACUGGCUUCAUCUCUCCCCUCUUUCAGUGCUUGUCAUUGUUGUUAGCUUGUUUACUUGUUUAAAGACUAACUGGAUUAUUGUAGUGUUGUCCAUUCCCUUCUCUUCCUCCUCUAUCCCCUAAACAGACACAGGGUAAAGCCUCUGAUGUUUUUCCUCAGGGAUUCAUCCUUGGACAUGCCCAGCCACUUUGGGAUAACAAGGUUUUAGCAGGACUUAGGCAGUGUUUGUCUAGUUACCUGACCACACUAACCUAUGAAACUCCACUAACUGCUGGUUAAAAGCUCUAUUGUUCAUAACAAUGCCCUGGAGAAUAAAUUAUUUACACCCUAAUCCAGUCAAAUUCAGGCUGCUAUGAAGGGACAGUUCCUGAUGGUCAAAUUUUGAAAUUUAUUCAGACUCUAGUUCUUGCAGCUGGUUUCUUAUUUUUCUCCAGCAACUAGUUGGCUUAUCAUUUAGCCUGUAUCUUCAAGCAUUUUAUCAGUCUCCUCCCCAUUGCCUCUCACCAACACUUCUACUGUUUUUGAAAGCACACUUAGAUUUGAACUUCAUAUGCUGUUGCAAAUAAAGUUGGCUCCUUUGGGGAGAUAAUUUGAACUCUCUGUUCUAUGGUCUGCCUUUCCUCCCAGGGAAAAUCUCUGAGCCACAACUCUGGUGCUGGAGUAAGGAACAAUAGGUCAAUUCUAAGUGACAGCCCAGUUUGAAGAAGUAAGUGCUCAGUGGAUAUAUGGGCAAGAGCCCCAGGUGUCCUUGGCUUGUCUCCCUUGGCACAAGCCCCUGUCCUAUGAGCUGAGUCAAUAGCAAUUGGGAUCUCAAUGUCCUACCAUGCCCAAGGUAGAACCUUUGUCUCAUGAGAGGAAACGUGGUGGAAGAAUGGGGCCCCCACCUGUUGGCUGCAGUAGUACAGAACUUUGCCUCAGCAACAAGUAUCUAGGGGCAGUAUGAGAAAUGCUAAUGUCAUGUCCUUCCCAGGAAGACAACCCUCCAACCAGGACCUGGGGGGAGUCAAAAACUUGUGUUCUUGGUUGUACAAGUCUGGGUGGAGUUCCCAGCUCAAUGAGUGGAGAUGGGAAAAGUGCAGAUCUUUAAAUACUAA